UACGAAGGGGGCUAGCGUUGUUCGGAUUUACUGGGCGUAAAGCGCACGUAGGCGGAUUGUUAAGUCGGGGGUGAAAUCCUGGAGCUCAACUCCAGAACUGCCUUCGAUACUGGCAAUCUCGAGUCCGGAAGAGGUAAGUGGAACUCCUAGUGUAGAGGUGGAAUUCGUAGAUAUUAGGAAGAACACCAGUGGCGAAGGCGGCUACUGGUCCGGUACUGACGCUGAGGUGCGAAGCGUGGGGAGCA
rnacentral:rRNA from 1 species